rnacentral:sRNA from 1 species
UAUAUGUGCACAACUAAAUUUUUUUUUAUAUUUCUUAUAUAUGUUGUUGUUUCAUUGUCUUAAAUUAAAUAUUUAGUACGGUAUUGGUCUGUCCUUGUGUAUAAGGACAUUUUGGAGUAUCCGUGGCAGAGAACCCACCCAAUUUUUUUAGGUUGCCAUAUCAAAUUGCAAAAACCUUUGCAGUAGUAUGCUCCAGAGAUCUUCAAUGUGAUUCAAAUCAGGAAUUAUGGCUGGCCAUUAUAUCGAAUGUGCUUUUCUUGAUCUAAAAUAUGCCGUUUUAAACCGUUCAACAUGGAGACAUACGUCUAUGGUUUGCGUACAUCCGCUACGCUCAACGCUGCUAUAGUUGGAAGAGUAUUAACAAAAUGCUUGUUUGUCUCCAUGCGGCAUUUUCGGUCAAAAAUCCAAUUCCAAUCAUCGAAACAUUUUGAAAUUGUUGGCUCUUUAGUUUCCAAAACUUUAAUUUUUACUAAUGCACAUAUAAAUAUUUUCUAUGAAAAUUUUAAACUUCCACAGAAAUUAAUGAUAACGGUACUUUUGGAUGAAGUUGAAAUAGAGAAUUGGUUAUGGAAUAGCAAAGUGUUCAAGAUGGUGAAAA